AUAUCUAUCCAUACUACCAUAAAUAAGCCCAAUUUUGUCUGAUAAUUGAAGUUAAGCAGGGUUGGACCUGAUUAGUACAUGGGUGAGAGUCAACGAAUUCUGUGAUGCAUUGU
rnacentral:rRNA from 1 species